AGAGAGUUUGUUGAUGGAUUG
rnacentral:siRNA from 1 species